rnacentral:tRNA from 1 species
UAUUAACUCAGUUGGUUGAGCGUGGUACUAAUAAUGCCAGCGUGACAGGUUCGACCCCUGUAUGGACAA